UAAGUUGGGCGCCAGGUAUGCAGACUAAAAUAAUAAACCCUCGCCUAGUUUAGCCGUCGAGCUCGCCGCCGCUGCCGCCGCCGAGCUCGAACGUCCCCGACCCCCGUCUAGGCCUCCGUCCCCAGCGGCCACUGCUGCUCCUUCCGCCUCGUGCCCGCCUAGGUACCGUAGGCGCCGAGGACCCGUGUUUCCUCUGUCCCUCCGGUCCCUCUCUUCUUCCUUCUUUCCUCCCCAACACGCCGCUGGAUCGCUCCUCGAGCGGCCUCGACCCGCUUCCGCCUGACCGCGCCCUCUGCCUCCCCAGGCCGCGCCGCCGCGCUUCAGGAACGUCCACCUCCGUCCGCAGCUUCGUCUCCUGCUCUCCUAGGGGACUAGGUGGGGGAGGAUGGGUAGGUCGGGAAGGAGCUACCGGGCGCACGCUGCUCGGGGAUGCGCCCCAUUCUUCCCCCCAGUGCGCUCCACCCCGUGAGGUCGGGGGAGGAUCGGGAUGGUGCCACUCCGGAGGAAAGGGAGAGAGGGACGGACUCGGUAUCCGACCGCCGCGACUCCAGCUAUACGAGUACGUGUGUGACAACGACACUGUACUACUGUCGGUGCUGGGUGAAAAAGAAGGUCAAGGAACAAAAACACCACCUACGUAGGUACUAAUAAACAAAGUUGAUAACUAAAAGUCAAAUCAGUUAGUUUGGGUAAGGCUACGACGAGAAAAUGAACAUGUUUAUUUGAUAACAAGUGAUUUGACUCGUCGAUCGAUGACCACAGAGUUUCUAAUUCGUGUCCAACCAUGAAUACCAGUCCGGACGGAGUUCAUCCCCUUCUUCUCCUCCGGACUUUCUCUCUCCGGUGUUCCAUCUUCGGAAAACUAAUCCUCCGUCAGGUCGUUCAACCUGCUUGACGACUAUUUCUCUAUUAAGAUAAGACUUAAAAAUAGACUUUUCGUCCUAACCUAGUGCCUACACACAACCGAUACAGAGAGUGCCACACACCUUGGUCAAUAACCAAUUAAAGUAGAACAAACAACUGUAACUACCACAACAGGUAACCAAAUUUUCUUUAAACAACUUCGAUUUCUACUUCUCCUUGAACACCUUCUCCUUUUCUUUACUGUACCAUCUUUAAGUAAGUGUGUAUAGUCCCAGUAUCACUCUCCUAACUAGACGAACUAAGCGAGGACUACCAGCCACCUAACAAAGACCAUCCCGAUUCUCAAGACACUUCCAUUCUAAAACUAGGUUGGAUAAUUCGUCAUCGUGUGUUUAAUGUCCUCUUAGAUAACAAACCAGGUUGGAUAUUUCAACGGUAUAUACGAGUCAACGAGUGUUGUCACGAUUAUAAUUGUUCCACUUAUUUGAGUGCGAGAUCGCUUUCUGUAGGAAAUAUAAAAACCCCAGUCACUAUGGACAGGUUUUUGUAUUCUACACAAGGAUCUAUUGUAGAAAGGAGGUUUUAUUAAAUAUAUAGUAGAUCUGAACCAAUCAACAUUGAAAACGAAAGACAAGAAAGGUGUUCGAAGACAUCCAAGUUUACUGUUAACAAUUUAAAACCCUGGAAUUCUGAAAAAUCAACUAACGUAGGAUCUGGCCCUCCAUAUUAUCGUAUAGGAUUAACAGAUUAACUACUAAGUCUUUCGAGACCGAGAUGAGUACAUAUAGUCAAACAUAAGUCUAACACUUCAUGAGGAAGAUAUUUCUUUAUAUUCUCUCAAAUCAAGAUAUUUUGUAUAAAUAUACGUCAAUAGGUUGUUUAAAUACAGGAUUUUAGAAUGUUGAAGAGAAUUCGACAAAAAAACGCCCUUAUGAUAUAAACUAGUAUUGGAACCGAAUUUACGUUAAAUUAAAGUUGGAGUUUAAACCACUAAAAAAUUACCCGUGUUGACACAGCCAUCUCCUGAUCUCCAACUGUCAAUACUUAAAACACUAUUAGAAGCCAAUAUGACAAUAUAUAUCGUGAAAGGUCCAAUAUACCAAGUGUAAGAGACUCGGUUAAGUGUUACUGGUAAGGUCUAAACCCGGAACGCAAAAAUUUAAUAAAACAUUGUAAAACCAACUAGAAACUACGACGAGGAAUUAAAAAAUGUAACUGACCACAUCUUGAUUUACUCACAACUGUAAGUUCCCUUCGGGGUUCGAAAAUUUGUCAUAUACUUACAACAAUCAAGCCAGGAAGUGUUUAUUCAGGGAACUACACACAGUAGAGAGUAACGCAUAUUGUAGACCAGAAAGAUAAAAAGUAACUAAAAAGAAGAGGGCCACGUGACUUAGACGUUCCCGCACAUCUGCCGUCCUACUCGUCGUCGUACGGCCACCAUUCUGUCCCGCACAUCUGCCGUCCUACUCGUCGUCGUACGGCCACCAUUCUGUCCCGCACAACCGCAUGCGCUUCGUCGGUACGUACUUAGAACCGCCGCCUACGAACGACCGGCAUCACCGUCGUGGUUAAGUUCGACCCUCCGCCCUUCGACCUCAUCGUCCUUGCUAACCAGCAGGUAAUCCGUACUUGGGUUGAGGUGACAUGAGGGAAAAGAAAGGUAUUGGUUAAGAAACCUCGUCUGUACACCCAUGUAAGUGUAUCGGACUUCUAACAAACGAAAAAAACCAAUCAAAUCUAAAUCUAAAGAGUCUAUAAGUGAUAAACUAGUUAGCUAGGUACAUUUAGAAUAACUGUACCAAACACCUUACAUGGAAAGUCGUAAAUGGGACUAAUCAAUUUUAGGGAUCGACCACUAUUCUCCUUCUCCUACUAGUCCUUUCGUACCUCAAUUCACUUAGUCAUGUCCUUCUUUCCGACAAGUCUUUUUUUAUCAUCUCCUUCUUUCCCUCCUCGUAGUCAGUUCCAACCCGAACCACCGGAGCUGCGGAUAAUGGAGGAGAUACGGUUCGGAGUGUAGUGG
rnacentral:rRNA from 1 species